GCCGGGUGUGGUGGCACGCGCCUGUAGUCCCAGCUACAUGGGAGGCUGAGGCAGGAGAAUCGCUUGAACCCGGGAGUUUGAGGUUGCAGUGAGCCAAGAUCAUGCCACUGCACUCCAGCCUGGGUGACAGAGCGAGACUCUGUCUCAA
ensembl:misc_RNA Metazoa_SRP Metazoan signal recognition particle RNA